GGGAUAUGAGGAUAAAAAAAUUCAAAUGUGACAUCCAGUCUUACUACAUACGUGGUGAUUGAUCGACUAUCUGAUCCC
rnacentral:ncRNA from 14 species